rnacentral:rRNA from 1 species
AGAGUUUGAUCAUGGCUCAGGACGAACGCUGGCGGUGUGCCUCACACAUGCAAGUCGAACGGGGUAGCAAUACCUAGUGGCGGACGGGUGAGUAACACGUGGGAAUCUGCCUUUAGAAGUGGGAUAGCAGACCGAAAGGUCUAUUAAUACCGCAUAUGCCGAAAGGUGAAAGGAGCAAUCCGUCUGAAGAUGAGCCCGCG